AAUUUGUGCGUUGAGUUACUUAUUUUUUGUCAUACACAUGAAGCCGUCAUAUUCUAGCUACUCACACACACAUCUAUGGGUGCACUAAAGCCGGGCGUACACUGUGCGACUUUUUCACUCGCAGCGUUCAGCUUCAGCUCAAACUGUACGACUUCCUCGCAGGGCAGAUCUCACGAGUCAUGUGCUCACACUGUACGACCCAGUUCUCGUAUGUGAUCUGACUGCUCAUACUGUACGUCUGGUAGCAACACGUCGGCCCUAAAAAUAUGCUAAAAAUAGCAGUUUUUACACAACACGUCAGACUUUUUGGUCUUGUUUUGCCUGUUGUCCUUCGGGAGUGCUGCAGGAGGACACACAGGGAUUUAUGGGGGUUGGAUGAGGAAAACGAAAUAAAGAAAGUAAAUCUGUGUUUUGUGAUCAGUUUAAUUUGACAUGAACACGACAAACACGCUUUCUUGACAAUCUUUGUGAGUAAAAAACGUGUAGAAACAAAAACGAACAGCGUGUGUUAUUAGGGAAAUAGCGAGCGAGCGGCGUUGAUGCAGGAUUGCGCAUGCGCCGUGAGCGGUUCUGAUACUUUUUGGGUCGCAGCUGCUCGCAGCGCUGCUUCAACAGUGCGAUACCCUCACGAGGGAUGAGCAAAAUAUCAAACACUCCAGAAGUCCGUGCGACCUCACGACUGCUGAUCGGCAGCUGGUCAUGUGAUGUUAAUCGCCUCUCGUAACCCCCCUGUACACUACACGACCGCUCGGCGCAAAACUCGCCCCGAUGUCGUGGAUUCUCGCACGACUGGAAAAUCGGCUCAAAAAAGGGAAAAAGUCGCACAGUGUAUGCCCGGCUUAAGGUUUGUCUCAUGGAACGUACAUGGAGCUGGCUCUAGAGAGGAGAUUAAAGAUUUUUAAUCAGCUAAAGAGAGCCUAAGCAGACGUAAUAUUAUUACAAGAGACUCAUAGAUCUGCCACAUCCGCAGAUGAACUUAAAACACCUGAGUUUCCAAGCAUGUUCUCUGCCUGCUAUAACUCUAGGCAAAGAGGUGUAGCUAUUUUAAUACACAAAAACAUCAAUUUCACAGUAUUGGACACAGUCUCUGAUCCAGAGGGUAGAUUUAUAAUGUUAAAAAUAUCUUUACAGAACCAAAGCGUAUGUAUUGUCAGCAUAUACUGUCCAAAUAUUGAUGACCCUUCAUUCUUUCAUAAAUUUUUCUCUGUACUCUCCGAACACUUGGACUGUCCACUUAUACUUGGAGGCAUUUUAAAUUUUUGGAUGAACUCUUUAACAGACAGGCUCAGUACAGCUGGGACUCAGCGCAAUUGGCAAUCGACUAAAAUAGUUAAACAGUGCAUGAGUGAUUAUGGGCUUUGUGAGUCAUGGCGAUCUCUUCAUCCUAACCUUAGAGAGCAUACUUUUUUCUCACACGUCCAUCACUCUCAUUCAAGUUUGGAUUAUUUUCUAGUCAGCAGCUCAUUGUUGGCUGACAUUUCAGACACUGAGAUACACCCCAUAGUUGUCAGCGACCAUGCUCCGGUUUCUUUAACUCUGGUAAAUAAGAAGACAAUCCCACCAAACAAAAACUGGAGGUUUAAUACAUCACUGCUCAAAGACGAAGGUUUUAUAGAAUUUUUUAAAAAGGAGUGGGCUUUAUAUUUAGAACAUAAUGACCUGCCUGGAACAGUCAGCAUCUGUUCUCUGGGAGGCAGGAAAGGCAGUGAUGAGAGGUAAAAUAAUCUCUUUCUCAUCACAUAAUAAAAAAACAGAAAACAAACGUAUUCAGGAGUUAGAGGAAAUCAUUAAAGGAGACAUAACAUGAAAGCCCCACUUUUUUAUCCAUUAACACAGUGUGUUUCACAUUUUAAGUGUCUAAGUGAGCAAAACGGCUUAUAUUAUUCACUGGAGUUGCUAUUUAGAUAUUUAAUAAUUAAGUUUUGGGCAUAUUUGUCCACCCGUUCAGUUUUUCAAAUGACCUAUUACAUCAGUAAUUUAUUUCGUCAGGAUAACUACCAAAUAUGGUAAUGGCCCUCGGCUAAACACAGAGCCAAUCCGCCAUUUUUUCUUCUCACUAAGAUUUUUUGUAGUCCUAUUGGAAAAAUGCAGAAUGUCUGGUUAUUUUAGCCACACACAGCUCAAAACUGUUCCUCGUUUUAAGGAAGGGUGGUGUGGCAGUAUUUAAACCCAGGAGCUGAUGACGCUACUGCUAAAAAAACACAGAAGUAGUGUGUGUGUGUGUGUGUGCGCGCGCGCACGCACGUGGUUCGUUCGUUCGUUCGUGUCUCCCAGGCUAUAAGUACUGAGGGCUUCAUCUAUCUAAAAGGAGUCAUUUCUAUCUGAAUGUGGCAGCAACGGGACACAGCAGCAGAGCGAGUCCACAUCCAGAAGGCUGGAGCCAUGUUUCACUGACAGGCUGUCAGACUAACGCCCUGAUGAGCUCAGCUGGGACAAACUGGUCUGAUGUUUAGGAACACAGAACGUUCAGAUGUUGGAGCUUCACGUCACCUACUGAGGAAGGAGACGCACCAGUAAAGAGACGGUCUGGACCAGACCAAAAAUAUGGUGAUGACAUCAUGGAACUGGUCAUUGGAAAAGUUUUCCCUGAACCAACUCCUUUUCUAGAUGAGGUAGUGAAGAUCAGCAUCUCACCAACCCUCUGGUCUCAGUAAUCAGACAAUGGAGGUCUCCCACUGUUAUCCAGGACCAGUUUGAAGCCCACAUACUGCCCCUCCCUCAUCAUCAGGAAACAUCAGUUCCUAUCCUGAGGACAACAGAAGACGGCAGGAGGACAGGAACUCUGAGACACCACCAGCACCGGGACACAAAGCACCUGUGUGCACAACGCCUGUUUAACUACUAAAGCCUGUUUAUUAUAUUGUUCUACUUAUUUGCUGUGAGGUUAAUACUUAGAAAUUUUUUUAUAUUAAUGUAAACAAUUAAAAAAAAUCACUGAUUGUUUGUUUUCUUUUAGAUGUAAUGGUCCAAACUCAGCCUUGUAGACAUUUAUUGCAUCCUGUAGGUAAAUACACAGAACAGGCUCAGGUCCAGGAUGACCCAGCAUGCUCUUCUUCCAUUCUGGCUGUUAGGGAUUUUAUCAAUAACUCAAUGCCUACUGAUGUUUUGACCUAACGGCAUUUAUUUAGAAUGCAGGUAAGAUUUAACUAUAUUUGUUAGCAAAGCAGACUGAUCUUGGGAAUUUCACUGCAGCACUGAUGUCCACCUCUGUGUACACAUUAGAGAGAAUUACCACGUUACAGCUAAACACAUAUUUAAUAAAGAUAUAGGCUAUGCAUUGCAGACAAUAAAAACAAAGUUGUAAGCAGUAGAAUUAUAAUAAUCACAUUAAAGUACAUUUGGAGAAAUGUUCUUUAUUUUUGACUAGAAUCUCAAAUCUUUAAAUUAAAAUGUAACUGCUUUUUAUCCAUUUUCAGCCAUUAAGACACCCAAUAUAAAAUAAGACUACUUAUAAAAUUAUUCAUAAUUAUAUGUAUAUAUAGAUAUAGAUGGAUAGAGAUCUUAAUAAAAUGUAUUCUUUUAAUGGUGUUUUAAUGAGCUGUAUCAUUUUAAAAAACAUUUUUUAUAGAAAUAAAUAAGCAAGCAGCAUUCCUUGUGUGUGUGUGUGUGCGCGCGUGCCUGCUCACUUGUCCCUCCGUCGGCCGUGACGGGUGUGUGUGAGUGACUACAGACAAAUGCAUGAGAAGAGUUAGCAGCCUUGAAACAGCCUGAUGAACAACUCUCCCCACAUGUUUUAAAAAUGCUUAUGCUAAAUAAUGAUUUCUCUAUAGAACUAAAAAGUCCGACUGGGGGAGGAGAGUACAGGUCUGCACUGUGGAGGGGGGCGUAGUUUACAGCUCCUCCAGAUUUAAAGAGACAGUACCCAAAAACGGCUCGUUCUCAAGACUCUCCUCAGAACAGAGGUAGAUGAGGGUCUGUAGAGCAACAAUAAUGAGGAAAUCAGACCAAAGAACUGCAGUUCCACUGUAUUUAGACCCCAACUGAAGGAUUUAGAUGUAAAAAGGAAUAACUUAAAAGCAUGUUAUGCCUCCUUUAAGUCUUUAGAGGCAUCCACAGAAGAAGAGUUAAUGAGCAAAUUACGUAAAGCUCAACUAGAACUUCAUGGAAUUAUCGACAAAAAGACAAAAUUUUUAGCACAAAGACUACGAAUAGAAAACUUUGAACAUAGUAAUAAAUCAGGCAAAUUUUUCGCUAGCCAGUUAAAAAGAGAAAACUACCAUAUCUGCUGUUAAAGACUCAACCGGGAAUAUAGUUUAUGACCCUGAAAGAAUAAACAACACUUUCAGAGACUUUUACCAAACUCUGUACUCACCACAGAUAACCCCAUCAGAUAAUGAGAUCAAUGAAUUUCUUCACAGGAUAACGCUUCCUAAAUUAUCAGAUAGCCAAGCUACAGUCCUGGACUCGCCACUAACAUCAGCUGAGCUCCAGGAAGCCCUUAAAUCCAUGACUAAUAGGAAAGCUCCAGGUCCAGAUGGGUUUCCAGCAGAGUUCUACAAAGAAUUCUGGAUCAUUCUGGCUUCAACAUUCUUCAGAAUGGUGAGGGAAAUCGAAGAGAGCGGCAGAUUACAGCCAAACAUGAAUUCAGCCAAUAUUAGUCUUUUGUUAAAACCAGACAAAGACCCUGUAUUUCCUACCAGCUAUUGCCCAAUUUCUCUUAUUAAUGUUGAUCUCAAAAUAAUUUGUUAAGCCCUGGCAAAAAGAGUAGAGAAGGUAACCCCCUUCAUAAUACACCCUGACCAAACUGGUUUCAUUAAGGGGAGACAGUCAUCCACAAACUCACGUAGAUUACUUAAUUUGAUAGAUUUCUCUUGCAGUAGAAACAUAGAAACUAGUAUAUAAUCUUUAGAUGCAGAAAAGGCUUUUGAUAGAGUUAACUGGAAGAUCUUAUUUGCAACUUUAUAUAAAUUUGGUUUUGGGAACUUCUUCAUAAACUGGCUACAAACAUUAUACAGUUCACCAACAGCACGUGUCAGGACAAUCGACCAAAUAUCAGCUAGCUUUUGUCUUCAGAGGUGGACCAGGCAGGGAUGCCCACUCUCCCCCUCACUGUUUGCUAUCUUUAUAAAACCACUACCAGCAGCAAUCAGGCAAACAACAGGUAUUAAAUGCAUAAAGUGUAAGAACAUAGAACAUAAAAUCAGUCUUUAUGCAGAUGAUGUUACUUUUUCUCCAGAAUUCUCAAUCCUCUCUCUCAAAAGCAAUUGAACUGAUAAACUCUUUCAACACUUUCAGAUUACACAAUAAACCAGCUAAAAUCCACAGUUCUACCAAUUAAUUUUUCUUUUGUCAAUUUGCUUAAUACACGAUUGUAGUCAGGGAAUAUCACAUACCUGGGAAUUAAUAUCUCUCCCAAGCUGGCAGAUCUAACUAAACUAAACUACAUCCCACUUUUAAAGAAAGUGGAAAAUCUUGCAAGCUGUAAAUCCUACCAAUAUCACUCAUGGGGAGUGUUGCUACAAUUAAAAUGAUGGUCUUACCCAGAAUAAAUUACUUAUUUUCAACUAUCCCAAACGAGCCACCAUCUGACUGGUUUAGAUCUCUGGACUCCUUAAUCACUAAACUCUUUGGCAGGAUAAACCUCCACGAAUUAGCUUAAAAACGCUUCAGAAUACCAAAGACAGAGGAGGACUGGAUCUACCCAACUUUUAUCAUUAUUUCUUAGCCAACAGGCUGCAAUAUAUACCAAGAUGGUUGCAAGAUAACCUACUAGAUGAGUCCUGGUUAGAUAUAGAACAGACACUUUGCAAUACGAUAGAGCUUUCAGGCUUACCAUUUAUUAGCUCAAGCAUAAGACAACAAAAAGUCUUCAAAAGUAUUAAUAUCAGCACCUCUCUGGCAGCAUGGUGGGAGUAUCUAAAAAUUCCAGAGUUCACUAAUACCAUGCAGAUGCACACCCAUCUGGAAUAAUCCUGAUAUUUUGCAAAACAAUAAAAUUAUGAACUUUCUGGACUGGAAAAAUAAAGGAAUCCUAUACCUGGAACACAUAUAUGAAGGAUCGGACUUCAUCCCAUUUAACAGAACAGUCUCCCAAUUUGGGAUAGACAAACAUAUUUUUUUAGAAUAUCACCAAAUUAAAUCUGUAAUUAAACAAAAAUGUAAGCUUAAUAAAGUUGAAUUACAAACACCUCCAAGGUCAGUGUUGGGAGUAAUGCGGUACGAAAGUAAUUAAUUACUGUAAUGCAUUGCUUUUUGCUGUAAUGUGGUAAUGUAAGGCAUUACAGGGAAAGAAAAUGGUAAUAUUUACUCGGUACAAUCGUCAGUAACGUGGUAAUUACAAUGCAUUUUUAAACCCAGAAUCAAGUGUUCCUUAAAAAUUCAAAUUGCGGGAACCCCGAAGAAAGAUCCAGUAUCUGCAUAUAUUACGUCAUUUAUGGACUCAGCUUUGCGCCGCGGUAACGGCUCAACUACUCCAGCUGCGUUCUGCACGCGGCCGCUGUAACAUUCACAAAAUCGCUCCACUAAAACAAAAUAAUUCACCUGCGAUCGUUCAUAUCAGCGCAUAUUCUCUAGUAUUUUGUGCUUUUCUGAUGUGCUUUGCCUCAGCUGAGUUCAUAAUCUGUGCCCCGGUGAUUUCAACUCAUUGUUGCUGGAGCGCCGCGCAUGUGAAGAUCCCUUUGGCUGAUAGUUAGAAAGUACGAAGUCUAGGAAACAGUUUUUUCUGGAAGACGGAGAAAACAUGCAGCAUGCAGGAAGGUUAGAGAGAGAAAGGGCAGGAAAUUAUUCACAUAAAAUCAAGAAAACAAAACAAAGUGCUUGAAAAGAAAAAAAAUAGGUAGAUUUAUCCCCAAUACACAUUUUUACCAGUGAAAAGCAAUAAUAGAUAAGCAUUUAAUAUUUAUACAUGUGAUAGAAUCAGAUCACUCCAGAAGUCAGUCCCACAUCCAGGGCCGUAUCAAGGCAUUUGGGGACCAAGGCAAAUAUAGGCUUGGAGCCCCCACCACCUCACUCCCUGAUCAGUUAAUAUAAGAUGGCAGCGUGCUGAGAGUACAGAUUGUUGUUGUUUUUAUUUAACAAACAAUCAUUUUAAAGCACUGUUAUUAUAUCUGACUGUUUUUAACAGCAAUCCUAGCUCAGACACCACAUCACUUUCCACAUAUAUGUCAUGAGCUCACUGAGCGUCACAUUACCAGAUUCAUAUUGAAGUUGUUUUGGUGAAAGUAACUUAAAGUAAUGCAAAAGUAGUGUAAUGCCUUACAUUUUAAAAUCAGUAAUAUUGUAAUGUAAUGAAUUACUUUAAAAUGAGGGUAACAAGUAAUAAAUAAUGCAUUACAGUUUUGAAGUAACUUGCCCAACACUGUCCAAGGUUAUUAGACUUCUGUAACCUCAAACGCCCCAAACUACUGUCUAAAGUUUAUAAGACACUGUCCAAAAUGGACAAUACAAUAGCAAUUCCUAUUGGAAAAUGGGAGGUGGAUCUAUCAGUCAGCUUUGACGGUCGCCCCUGUGAGGGGAUCUGGGCGGGGUCCUGGGGAUUGGGUACUAACUUGAAAGCUGCCGGGAGGAAGGUGGAAACACAUGGCAGAGGCUGGCCCAGGCUCAGGGGCCCCAGGUGGAACUUGGCUCCUCUGAAAUAAUGGUAACAAUUCUGUUCCAUCAUGGGGGAGGGGGAUGUCCAGAAGGAGGAGGACCUUAGGGGGGGCUUAGGUCGGGUUUUCACAGCAUUCCUGUCUGCAUUCCUUUGUGGGGGGUUUUAGUUGAUUGCAGCUCAAGGCUACCAGGGUGUCAGAUUCAGAUAACAAGAAUUUGUUUGGAUUAGGCUGAGAUAACUUUCCUCUCUGCCAUCAGUCUUUAAACUGAUCAUUUCCAGUCCUUCAGUGAAGCCAAUUUUGGGUUUUAAACUUAAACUUGUUCAUACCGUCCGGUCACUCUCUCCGAGAUGACAUCCAUUUUGUGCACUAAUACCGGUAUCGCAGCUAGAACAUUGUCCAGCUUACAAUUCACCUCGAGUAACGUCCCAGUCUGAGAAAUCUUCACACGGACGGUGCUUUCCGUGGGUGCGGGUCACCCUCCAAUCGCUCUUGUCCUCCCAAAUUUCCAGAAAACCAGAUAUCCUCCCACUCCUAUCAGGAGAAAUCCAGUGAUCAUCAGGCCAAAUAUCCACAUGUCUUCAAUGUCCUCAAUGGACACCUGGGAGAGGCAUAUGAUCUUCCACUCCUUUUAGGAAUCCAAAACAUAUCCCACCGGGUGCGUCCCCUGUGGACAUGUGGGAGCCCCCUGCUCCGUUCUAAUUGUUGAAAAAUUUUUAUCGAUCACAUUGAAUGACCAGUUUAUCAAAUCCAUGGUUAGUAAAAAUAGUUUUUCAGAAGAAAUGCAGAGAAGUACUCUGUGGGCAGACAGGACAAAGAGGCUUGGGGAAAAAAGAUAAGGGAGUGAUAGAGGGAAGCGUCUGUACUCUUCGAGUGCCAGAAGAAGAAUGGUGCUGGGCAUGCCCAUUUAAAGCCAUAGUAAAUUUGCUUUCAUCCAUUGCGCUGUGUUGUAUCUGUGUUUUGUUGCGGAGCAAAACAGUUCCUGUCCCCCAUUUGAGUUUUGCUCGGCUGCAGACAUCACGUGAGUGAAACCUAGCAAUGAACACCUGUUAUGAAAAGGCUGUGCCAUCCAGCAGUCUGGGAGGCAACUGUGCAUGGGUUCUGCUGUCUCCCAGGCCUCAUCUUGGUUUUAAACCCCUUUUGUGUUGAGAAGGUUAACUAAAAUUGUUAGCUGGAGAUGGAGAUCCAUAGAGGAUUUGAGGUUUGACUGCUCAGACAGUCUAAGCUAGGGUAAUUUCCUCUUUGACAUUAAGGUUAACUAACUCUGAUUGAUCAACAGUAAAACUUUUAUCAUAUUUUUAACCAGGUGUUUAAUGCAAAUCUUAUUGUAAAUGGCUUUUAAUAAAGAUUUACAAUUUUUGCUUGGCAAUAUUUUUAUAAUGCACACGCGUAAAUUUUACAUCAGAGUCGGUGUGUAACAAACACCAGUGCAUGAAAACAUUUCACAAGAUAAAGCAAUAACAUUAAAAGUAAAGUUAAAAAAUCUUUAUAACACAAAAUAGUUCAUAAAAGCAAUUAAAAUGCAAAAAGCUCAUAGGUUGAAAGCCAAAGAAAAUAGUGGGUCUUUGACAAUUGUUUUAUCUUUUCUAGUCAGGAGACCUUUCUGAAAUGUGCUGGCAUAGUUCCACCGUUUGGGAUCAGCAACAGGGAAGACCUCUCUGUCCCCUCUGAGCUGGUCGGAUGACCCGAGUGACCGAGAUGAGGAUUGUUCCUGCAGUAGCUCAGAGAAUUAGGAUGGAGCAAGAUUGUGUAACGAUUUAGAAACAUUUAAGAGAAGUUUCUGAGUUGUCUGCACCAUGAUAAACCAGACCUGUCUGUGUGUAAAUGACAUGGGACCAGUGGCGGUUUUACCAUUAGGCAUAGGUCGGCGGCCGCCUGGGGCCACCUUAUGUUGGGGGGCCCCCUAGCCCUGACUGUUGGCACCCCUCUGUUAAUGCCAAAAUGGACUAUUCCUUUAAGACGCCAAUGCACAAACAGGGAGUGAUUGGUAGUCAUUCCAGUCCAAACCAGUUGGUGACAGUAAUGCACCAAAUUGUUGUUUGCCAAGUGCCAUAAGACCACAAACAAGAAGAAGAGAAAGCAGAAAAAGAAGAAGGGAGGGGGGAGUGUUCAUAACAAACUUGAAGCGGUAGUCAAAACAUGAAGCAUGAAAUGGAGUUAUCCUAGUGGCUCCAGUAAGAGAAAGAAGCAGCUUGCUUUAAAAAAGCUUUUAUCUUCAUUUCUAAAAGUGACGUCAAUUUUCUAUGUAAACAUCAAAAGGAAGCAGAAAGGAAAGACAAUGGAAAAUGUUUAAAGGGAGGAAAACAUAGACCAAAAUGGAAAAUAGAAAAUAAAAUAAAGGCAAAAGCAUAGGAGCACGGACAGGAAGAAGAAAGCAGAGCAAAUAUUGAAAGCACUCAAAGGGAGAGAAAGACAGGAAAAAAAAAGAGGAGGACUAAUAAAAAGUGAAAACAACUCACCUCAGAUGAGGGUAGAGUUUCGCUAAUCCAAUUACUGUAAGAUUGUCAAAAUUUAGUGUAAGGGGGCUCCAUGUCUGUGUACGCCUUGGGCCCCCAAAUUGCUAUAUCCGCCACUGCAUGGGACACACACAUCCUGUCCUAUCCCAGCCCACCCUGGCCCCUUCUUCCCAACUGACUCAUUGAUAGGGUGCUUUCCUCUUGUCCUUGCCCUUGGCCUUACAUGCC